CUUUCUGCAGAUGACAAUGAUCAGGUGUGCAUGUGCUGUGAUACCACAUGUGGCUCCAGCAGGAAAGGGCAAGCACUGUCUGAUUCAGGCCUGGUUUCAGAAGGGAAGGCAACCAUUGGCCCUAUUGUAGUCUCUGAUUGAUGUGGAUUGUAAGAAGUGGCCAAUAAAGACCUGGAAUGGA